UAAAAUCAAAUCGACCCAGUGACGUGUUUGUUAAGUUUAAGAGCCAUGAGCGCCGAUUAAACGACCUUGGUUUCUUCCAAGUCUUCGUUGUGUAUCGUCGUCCACGAAUGUCGCUUGAAACAAAUAUUUCUGUAUUUCUCUUCUUUUUUUUGGUGGUAGAGAAAUAUGCACACACUUUUGUUAAUCGUUCGCACGAGUGAAAUAAAGCGAUAUAAAAAUCUCGAUAAUUCAUUUGCAAGUAAAUUGUUUCCAUAUUUACGCUGUUUUUCUGUUUUUCGUGUAUUUUUUUCACGCACAGUUUCAUCGGAACAGCCACAACAAAAACCGCAUUCACUUUCGAUAUUACAAGAACACGUUCCGCCAUAUUAUCCCAAUAGUAUUUAAAAAAUAAAACGAGAAAAAAGAGCACGACGCAACAGGUUGAAAAAUUCAACGGAUGGAAAAAAGCUCCGACGCGAAAUUUUGGCGAAUUUUCUAUCCGACGUGCACGAACACGCAAGCAUCUGGAAACGAAUCGGUAACACGGAAGCGAGGAAUGCACGAAAAGAAUGUCACCCUUCACUUUCUCCGAAUCACUGAUUUCACACAACACACCCUAGAUUCGGCGAAUACGAGAGCGAGGACAAAUCGACAGGCAAAAUACGCUGUCUGGAGCUCCCUCUAAUCGAUCACCUCCCUUUCGUUAUUACUUCAACAAGUCAUACAUAGAUAUCGCAUUAUCAAUGACAGACCGAUCGCCAUGGAGAUUUGCGUCACUGUUUUAAAUUUAACUCUUUGCGGUCGGCAUAUUUUUUUGGUGGCAUUAUCAAUUAGUUAAAGCAAUAAAUAUUUAUAAUUUGCAGGCAAAUUUUAAAUGCCACCAUUGUAGUGACAUCUUAUCGCAAAAAGGCUGAUUUUUAUAUCGUCGUUAUUUACUGUUGUUAAAAUGACGGCAGAAUUAGCGCCGUUUAUAUAUUGUUAUGUUAUGUAUGAAUAAAACCUCGCGUAAUAGAAAAUGCUUCAUUUAUAUCGAGGGGAAAAAUAAUUGCACAACAGUUUUCUGAAACUAUUAUGUAAUGUACAAAAGAGUAUUAUGAUGGCUAUUCCACGCGCUUAUUGCGACAUCACGCGGAAUGUCGUUUCUGCGAGCGAUUCGUCCCUAUACUAAUCUUGACCCUAUCUACUUGUCUAUGUACACUGUGUACACUACAUAUAUAUCGAUGCUACGCAGAUACGCUAACCCUUUAACCUAACAUCUUUAGGUCCGAUCAAACUAUCAAACCGAUCCUCCGAACGGUCUUCGCAUUUCUUGCCCGUCGAAGCCGGCCUGUGCCGUAACUUUGCGAAUCUCGCUUGGAACGCGGUGAAGCACGUCGAGUUGUACGCGGCGCAAUAUUCAGGCGGCCUCGAAUUUCACGUAGUAGGGAACAUUAACGACCGUAAGCUUACUUUGUUGCCCGCAGCCUGCCGCGCGCCAUAAAGCCACAUCAAUACACGGCAAUCACGCUAAGAGCAGAUGUUAUCCCCACCACCGCCACCCUACCACUUUUCUAGACUCGAGCCAGAGAUCGGUCGGUAAAGUGGUGGGGACGGAUCGGCUCGUGUCGCCGAUACUCGGCUAUCACACAAGUCUCCUUGUGUAUCCACUACGAUUCAGGAUCGUGUCAGUAAACGCGUGCUUCCUAUACGAUUGUUGUUUAUUUUAUCCUUCUUUAUCGAUGACGAUCGAUUUGAUCGAUCGUGUCAUUUUAUAUAUCGAAAAUGAUACACUUAAAUAAAGAAUGAAUUCUAUUAUGUGUUCUAAUAUUACCAUCGUAUUGAUCAAGAUCGAUAUCUAAUUCCAAUUGAAGAAGAUAACUAUUAAAUGAUUAAAUGAAAUCGACUGAUAUUAAAUACAUUCGCAUUCGACGUAUAAUAAUAGUUGUAUUAGUCAAAUCUUGCUGAAAAUCUCAUCUUAGUAUAAAAUACUGUUCACCUUACUCGUGUCAGGAAAGUGCAAAUCCAAUAAUAGGCACGACUGAAUGUAUCACAAUCGAUCAAUUUACGUUAGCAAUAAAUAUAACCACAAAUAGGUUUAACUACCCUUCCACGUCACGAUUAUCAAUAAGUAUAGCAGGACGAUUUAAUGAGUCUCUCAUGGGAGGUGCACCAACGAGAGCUACGGCCCUGACACGUGCCUCGUGCCACGUACGACAAUAUGCACGUAUACGCCGAUUGUGUGUUAGUUUCUGACAGCCUCUCGUUGGUGGGAGAGAUGUGAUAUCGGUAGUGGGGAGAGAAUCGAGUGUGUAUUGAUAGAGGGUGAGGACAGCCGUAGCUUCGGUGUAGGUAGACGCGUGACGUCACGCGUUCCACCAGCUGGUUAGGAGACGCGCCACUCUCCUUGUUGCCAUGCCCGUGUUUUUGCUGUGAUAACACGAGAAGAGGGGAAGGGGCCCGUGUGUACUUGCGGGACCUAUGAACUUUUGAAGCCCGAAGCAGCGUCAUUCGAAGGCCCUUACGCGAGCCCCUCGUAACCUGAGGAAAUAGAAAACACCUGGUAGAUAUCCGAUUCCGACGCUCUUCGUUGCAGAUGAGGGCCGUUUUCGAUCAGCGUAAAUCGAUUUAGUCGCCUCCAUGAAAACAAUGCUUCCUAAUCUUUCGUUGAUUCUUGACUUGACAAAAUAAGUUCACGCGAUUACCAUGUAAAACUUUUAGGUUAUAUGUUUCGAGCUGGUAUAUAUUUUUAUAUUACGUGUAUGAUAGCAGUUUCAAUACGGUUAAUAUAAAUAUUACGAAAUUGUAGUAGAAAUUUUUAUAAUACUUAUAUUACAUAUAUUAAAUCAUAUAACAUAUAUUAAAUCCUAGGACAUAGAGACAGAUAUCUAUGAAAAUUAUUUGCUCGUAUGUAGGAAUCCAGUAAACGUGUUAAUAAAUAAAUUUACGUUCCCAUUUCGAAUUGUGAAAUUUUGUGAUACGUGAGUGUAAGAUACAAAUAAAAUUCUUGAUAAAACGAU